rnacentral:rRNA from 1 species
UGCGAAGCGAAGCAGCGAUGUGAAGCAAAUCGCACCAAAGCCGGUCCCAGUUCGGAUAAGAGGCUGAAACUCGCCUCUUUGAAGUCGGAAUCGCUAGUAAUCGCAGAUCAGCAUGUUGCGGUGAAUACGUUUCCUGGUCUUGUACACACCGCCCGUCAAACCAUGAGAGUCGCCAACACCCGAAGUCCGCUUUGCGGCCUAAGGUGGGGGAGAUGAUUGGGGUUAAGUCGUAACAAGGUAGC